GAAGGCUGUACAUCUGGCCAGAGGUGCGAGUCUGAAGAUCCACACACUUGGCUCAUCGCUCAACCUGUUUACAACUGUGCAGCAUGCUAUUACCUUUGGGUGUGUUUAUGUGAUGGCUGUUGUGUUGGAUUAAUAUUGGCUCCAUCCACUGUGGCUGUUAGCCAGGGGUAUCAACAACCAGAGGGCCACAGUUUCCCCACCCUCAGCUUUCCACCACUGAUUUUAAUCCAUAAAGGCAACA